AGGAGGAACAGCCCCAGUGGCGGGGCAGCUCUGGAGCCCUGGAUUCAGCCCCCGCAGGAACUCUGUCUGCAGGGCCUGGAGGCUCCGGGGCGGG
rnacentral:pre_miRNA from 1 species